rnacentral:rRNA from 1 species
AGUGAACGCUGGCGGUAGGCCUAACACAUGCAAGUCGAACGGCAGCACAGGAGAGCUUGCUCUCUGGGUGGCGAGUGGCGGACGGGUGAGGAAUACAUCGGAAUCUACUUUUUCGUGGGGGAUAACGUAGGGAAACUUACGCUAAUACCGCAUACGACCUACGGGUGAAAGCAGGGGAUCUUUGGACCUUGCGCGAUUGAAUGAGCCGAUGUCGGAUUAGCUAGUUGGCGGGGUAAAGGCCCACCAAGGCGACGAUCCGUAGCUGGUCUGAGAGGAUGAUCAGCCACAGUGGAACUGAGACACGGUCCAGACUCCUACGGGAGGCAGCAGUGGGGAAUAUUGGACAAUGGGCGCAAGCCUGAUUCAGCCAUACCGCGUGGGUGAAGAAGGCCUUCGGGUUGUAAAGCCCUUUUGUUGGGAAAGAAAUCCAGCUGGCUAAUACCCGGUUGGGAUGACGGUACCCAAAGAAUAAGCACCGGCUAACUUCGUGCCAGCAGCCGCGGUAA